CUGGAACUCACUAUAUAGACCAGGCUGGCCUCAAACUCACAGAGAUCUGCCUGCCUCUGCCUCCUGAGUGCUGGGAU
rnacentral:miRNA from 1 species